AGGCUUGUCAGCAGCACAUCCAGUGAGGUGGACUCGGUAACAUCAGUCAGGUCCUCAUUGUUGUGGAAGUCCAGAGGAAGGCGACACUCAUCCAGACCGUCAAAGAUGAACACAACCUGGAAGUCUUCAAACCUGCAGAUUCCUGCUUCUUUGGUUUCAGUAAAGAAGUGAUGAACAAGUUCCACCAAACUGAACUUUCUCUCUUUCAGCACAUUCAGCUCUCUGAAAGUGAAUGGAAAUGUGAACUGGAUGUCCUGGUUGGUUCUGUCUUCAGCCCAGUCCAGAGUGAACUUCUGUGUUAACACUGUUUUCCCGAUGCCAGCCACUCCUGUUGUCAUCACUCUCCUGUUGGUUUGUU